AGGGAGCACAGCAGCAUGCCAGAUCCUCCCUGGAUUUGAGCAUAUCAGCCUGCUAAGUGUCCAGCAAGGCCACCUAUCAAUAAUUACUUCCUUCAAGAUGUGUUCAAAACCCUCACAUAUGUUGUCAAGAGGAUUCACUUGCUUGUGUCUAGCUUCUUCAGCUAAUGGAUGACAGAGAAUAUUG
rnacentral:lncRNA from 1 species